GCUGGGCUCUGACGAUGAGGAGCAGGAGGACCCGUCCGAUUACUGCAAAGGUGGAUACUACCCGGUGAAGAUCGGGGACCUGUUUAACGGGCGCUACCAUGUGGUCAGGAAGCUGGGCUGGGGUCAUUUCUCCACCGUGUGGCUCUGUUGGGACCUGCAG